GAGGGCUAUCACAAAUUUUCGAGUUUUAUACGAGUUUUGAUGCGUCAUUAUGCUUUGGAUAUAGUCACAAAAAAAAAACAAAAAUAAGAUUAAGAAAGUUUGAUCAUUUAUCUUGGGGCUGUUUUCAAUAAAUAUUUUAAUUUGUCCACGUACAUCAGUAAAAUCUUUGUCUCUGCAAAGGAUGUUUCAUAAAAUGUUGCUUUUGGGAAUCUUUUGAUGCUUCAGUACUACGAGGAUAUAGCAAUUUAACCAUUUAUAAAAAUGUUCAAGAUACAACUAUAUCUUGUACUUGUGCUUGCUUACACCAAUUUAUUACAAUUCAUACAGUAAUACACCAAAAAUAAUUCUAUAAAACUGAGAGUUACUGACAAUUUUCCGUACGAAACUAUAUUUUUUAUCUAUGAAAGUAUAAUCCAAAUUCAAAUAAAACAUAUUUAAUAAUUAAGGUGGUAUUGUUAUAAAGCUUGAAAAAAAAAAUUGGUCUAUUUAAAAGUAAAACAAUAUUUUAAAAUAAUUUUUGUUUGCAAUGCAAAAAUCAAUAUAAAUCUUGUGACGCGCGGUGUUCAACUUUAGUCAGCGCCAGCGCCAGGCGCUUAUCGAGGGUGGACGUAUCGCUCGCUGUUGCGCCGCGCAAACUCGCCGGAGCUCGAAAAAUAUAGCGCAACCUGCGCAACGAACUCGUUUUGAUACUAGAUAAUGAAAGCAUAUUUAAUUCAGAUUAUCAGACUCAAUCGGAUACCAGUACAAAUAAUAUGGAAAAUGAAGAUACAAUACAUGGAAGACGAAUUAUAGAUUUUAGUUUUUUUAUAAAUCAAUUACUUACACCUAAUUGAUAA